UCCGCGCUCUUACUGCUUGAUACUUCAACAAGAAGUUACAGCAGUGAGAGCGCUGCU
rnacentral:pre_miRNA from 1 species